AACGCACAUUGCGCCCGCCAGCAUUCUGGCGGGCAUGCCUGUCCGAGCGUCAUUUCGACCCAUCGAGCCCCCGGGCUUGCGUUGGGGCUCUGCGGCUGCCGCAGGCCCUGAAACCCAGUGGCGGUCUCGCUAGCAGCACCGAGCGUAGUAGCAGUAUUUCGUUCUGGUGGCGCGGCGGGUUCCGGCCGUAAAAUUUACAGUGGUUUCCCACUGUAACUUUCUAGGUUGACCUCGGAUCAGGUAGGAAUACCCGCUGAACUUAA
rnacentral:misc_RNA from 1 species